AGAUCCAAGACAAUUGUUGCCAGGAGUGGUUUGAGGAAGCAGUCUAAAGAAUGGAGUUUGGGAACUAGGACACCUACUGGCUGGCUGUAUCAAUGGUAGAUAGAUCUUGAAAAGUUCAAGUUGUAGGAACAGAAUCAAUAACAAAUAGAAGAUGCUGAGAGGAGUAAACUCUGUAUGAUUGCAUCCCAGCACCACAGCAACAGGUAAACAGGUUUUUAAUUUUCCAUUUGAUUCAGAUGUUAAGUUUCUCUUCUAGAAAAGUGUUUCCAGUUCUAUAAUUUUGAUUAUUAUAGAUAAAAGCCAAU
rnacentral:lncRNA from 1 species